rnacentral:misc_RNA from 1 species
GGAUAGCUCAGAAAGAUUACCUCCAAGAAGUUAAUUUUCCCGCUCCUCCAAGGAAAAGUGAGAAAUUUUCCGUGAAAGUAGAGAAGAAAAGAAGAUGAACAGUACAUCACCAGCUCAUUCAUCAGUGUCAACAACAGCAAUCGUUGGAGAAGGCAGCUGUAGCAAUGCCGCUUUGGAAGAUUUCCAUUUCCCUUCUAAUCUUAUAUCUAUCCAAGAUCGCAGAGAAGAGGCAAAGCUUGUUCUUAAAGCUGAUUUGAUGACUGCACUUAACAAAGAGGUUAAAUCCUUGGAUUAAGAUAACUGGAAGUUUGAAGGACCUCGUUUGCGCAUCCACCUUAUAUCAAGGCCUGGUUAGUCCUUCAAUCUGUCAUUUGUCCUUCCCUUUUACAAUUUCCUGCUCUUUGCCCGUUUUAUUAAAAAUUAGGAGAAACAUAUUUUUGUCCUUUAAUUCAUAAUUUGCCGUAUGCAUGGUACAUUAGAAGGUUCUUUUUCCAAGUGCCAUUGAUAAUCAGUUGCCUAAGAUGUGGUUAGUAUUGGUGGUAAAGGUCUAUUGAGGUCUUGUUGGAUCUUGGGCCAGCUUUCAAAUUCUAUUGAGCAUACUAUGAUAUUUGGACACAUAUUCUUAACUAGGACACAGAGUGCUGAACAUGGCAUCUUCUUUCAUGUUUACUCUUGGAAAUGGUCAAUAAUUUACUUGAAUUUGUUCUUACAGUUAUUGUGAAGCGUCCCUAAUUCAUUUUUCCAGGACAAGAAGGAUAAUUGACAAAGAAAGGAUUGAAUAUUUGAUCACUAAACAUAGUUUCUGUAGUUAAUUCCACUUCCCUUAAAGAAAUCUAUAUUUGUCCCAGAGUAUCAAAGAAUUCUCUCAACAAAUUUUUGAAGCUGAAAUUUACUUUAGAGAACAUUUUUCAUAAGUUUUAGAAGUGUAUUCUGGCAUAUCUGAUAAAUUCCUGUAUCUCCCUUGUGAAGUAUCCUUGCUUUGUAAGGAAUUGCACAUGCCACACACAUGUGAAUUUCCUUUGAAAUCUACAUAGAUAGAAGAGCAGAUUCUUAGUGACAACCCUUAAAUCUUUCUGGCAUAUUAUUCUUUCUUUGCAUGUUCACAAGCCCAAGGCAUAUGCACGUCAGUGCAUGUGUGCACAUGCAUGUUUAGGUCCUUGGCUUGUUCUGGAUGCUGGGAGGCUGCUUUAUUUGUGAUCUAUUGGUCCAACUUUUUGUAAUUUGUCUUUUCAAUAUCAUUAUGAUCAUUAUUGUUUGUUAUAUUUAUUUAAGAAAAUCUUCGUUAUUAUUUUCAAUUCAGGUGGGCUUCUAAACAAGAAGCUGGAAUAACAAAGAAUAGUUAGCUCCACCAAAAUAAAUUAGAUUCUUCAGAUAUAUCACAUCUUUCAUUUGUGGACUCAGGAAUCUGUUCUUUGGCUGCUGGCAGGAUUAAUGAUAGAUCGAAAACUAUGCCAAGAACUGCUAUGUUUUCAACGUCAGAGAGGAGGUUGAUGCCAAGAAAGUUGGACUGAGCUGACAAGGAAGGCGGCGAUGGGUGGUUUCAAUGCUUGAAGUCAAAAGAAGCUGGUAAUGAUUUUAAGAAAAAAAAAAGUGUAGUUGUAACCUUGCCACUUGUUGAUGCCUUCUCUAUAGCCAAUUCUUAUAUGCUAAAAUCUG